AUUUCUCUCUUCUCCUCAUACUUUCUCUUAUCUUGAGUUCUGCGCAGGGAUCAAGGGCAAAUCGUAAAUACUGAUAGGUAUUUAAAUGACUAGCAUAGAUAAGUCGGAUUCUAUAUAUAGAUGGCACAAAACAAGGUUUUGUCAAACAGAAGAGAAUGUCCAUGAUGCUUUCUUUCAUCUUCUCUUUGUUCAUGAGAUCAUGGUAAAAAGUCAAGCUGAAACAAAUUGGUGGUGACCACGCAGACAGGCCUCGGGAGAUAUAAGGUUACCUAGGGACCUUUCAAACAAUAUGCAGAUGAGAGUGUGCAACUCGCUUCCGUGGUUCGGCCGGGAUCCAAUACUUAAAAGAAGCGAAGUAGGAAACCCUAUUAAUAUAUAAUCAAUACUGCGAGAAGGUUAAGUUAUCCUUUGUCCCAAACCCAGUGCCGAUUCGAGGAAAAGCCAAGAUGAGGUUAACUCUGGCCAGACAAAGAACUGUAUUGGUAGGUACUUUAACUUGCAAGCAAGGUAAGGUUGAGGAAAGAGAUCAAAACGGGAAUGUUCAAUCAAUGGGCGAAUGGAAAGUGGCGGAAAAACAAAAAUUAAAAUAAAAUUAAAUUAAAAAUUUGGG
rnacentral:sRNA from 1 species